CAAUUUAAUAUGAGUGAAAAAAAGGAUAAAAUGAAAAUAAGACAUGUAAGAUACAUAAAUAAAAAUGAUAUACAUAAAGACUUUCAACAUUAUUUAAUAUGGAUUUUUUUGUGAUUUUAAAUUAUAUGAAACAUGUCAAAAUGAAUAUCUCAAAUACACAAUCUAGUAGAAGGAAGUGGAAGCCAUUUGUAUGUCAGAGCCAGUAGUAAGUGGUUUUUUUUAUUGUUUUUUUUUACAUAUUCUUACCAUAUACAGUAUAAUCAGAGACAUAUAAUACAUGUCUCUGGUAUAAUAUACAUCUAUUUUUUAUACCUUUAAAUAAGACUAUUUCAAAAUAAACAGAUCUGAUAUCAAUGGACCAGUCAGACAGUCAAAACUAUAAAUGGAGUAUCUCCCCCCUCUUUACAAACUGAUUCUAUGUUCUUACUCCAGAUUAAUUUACAACCUUGUUUAAACUAUAACAAUACAGAAAUGUUAGGAUUUCUUUCUUUUCAAAAAUACAUUGUACAACAUUUUUUUUAUCAUUAUCUAUCAUCAAUAUUUUAUGCAAUUGUCUCAAAAUUCACAAAUGCAAAAUGAAAACUAAAAACCUAUCUGUCACAAAACACAGAAAAUAUGUUAUAAGUUUGUAAGAUGUUCGUAUUUUUCAAAACAUCACAUCUCUCAGUCUGGCAACUAGACCUACAAUGUACGUGUUGUAAUGAUAAUGUGUAGAAUUUCUAACAGUUUAUCGUUCAUAUGCAUGUCAUUCAGUCCUUCAGAUUUACACCACUAUGAAAAGAGAUUUUAUUCCAUUCCUGUCCUUUGGGUUGAUGCUGUUGAACUAGUUUCCAUUCUGUUGACUACAAAGUUCGAAGUAUCAAUGAAUCUGUCAACACAGUUACGUAAACAUGCUUCUGUUUUUGAUUCCAGUUUCUGUCCGGUUUUGUCUACGCACAUGUCCCAGCACCUAUCGUUUAUAUUGUGCACCAGCACUUGGAAUCUUUGCUUCUGUGCCUCGGCAUCCAUGAAUUGUUGCAUUCUAUAAUCAUUUGCAGCCAUUUUUUCCAGAAGAACAACCAGGAAAAUGAGUUAAACCAUGAAAAAUAACAAAGGCUUGAUUUCGAUAGAGGUCAACAGCUAGGUCGUGACGUUUAAUCUGGAUUCAGUCUGAUGAAACGGAUACCAGUCAUAUGAUACAAUCAAGUACCUACACAUGUCUAUGUUAAAUAAGAACAACCAGG
rnacentral:lncRNA from 1 species